UACAGAGGGUGCGAGCGUUAAUCGGAAUGACUGGGCGUAAAGGGCGUGUAGGUGGUUGCUUAAGUUGGUUGUGAAAUCCCUGGGCUUAACCUAGGAAUGGCAAUCAAGACUGAGUAACUAGAGUACGGUAGAGGGUAGUGGAAUUUCCGGUGUAGCGGUGAAAUGCGUAGAGAUCGGAAGGAACACCAGUGGCGAAGGCGGCUACCUGGACUGAUACUGACACUGAGGCGCGAAAGCGUGGGGAGCAAACAGG
rnacentral:rRNA from 1 species